rnacentral:rRNA from 1 species
GGGUUGUGAGGUUAAGCGACUAAGCGUACACGGUGGAUGCCCUGGCAGUCAGAGGCGAUGAAGGACGUGCUAAUCUGCGAUAAGCGUCGGUAAGGUGAUAUGAACCGUUAUAACCGGCGAUUUCCGAAUGGGGAAACCCAGUGUGUUUCGACACACUAUCAUUAACUGAAUCCAUAGGUUAAUGAGGCGAACCGGGGGAACUGAAACAUCUAAGUACCCCGAGGAAAAGAAAUCAACCGAGAUUCCCCCAGUAGCGGCGAGCGAACGGGGAGGAGCCCAGAGCCUGAAUCAGUGUGUGUGUUAGUGGAAGCGUCUGGAAAGGCGCGCGAUACAGGGUGACAGCCCCGUACACAAAAAUACACAUAUUGUGAGCUCGAUGAGUAGGGCGGGACACG